CCUCUUACUGGCCCUGCUUGUGAUUCUUCCAAGAAAGGAGUCAAAGAACCAAGGAACAUACAAAUCCGAUACCUGAUCUCAAACCUUACUCAAGACCUCAAGAUAUUACUUAAGCUCUGUUUUUCAUCAUUAAAGGACCUAUUAGAAAAAGGACCUAUUCUAAGAAGGACCCAUUCUAAAAAAAGACCUAUUAGAAUUGAAAAUCUUGUGGUUGCCUCCAAGCCAUCAUGAAGCACACUUUAAAAUCAGAUCUUUCACUGGUAUUCAUGGGCUCCCAACUGCAAUGACAAUGGAUUCAUUCCUUUAGCCAGGAGCACAGAUAAUACUUUCAAUUAAAGAUGGCACAACUGAUCAUAUAUGUUGAAGUUUCCUCUUCUUACACCAAAUACAAAUAACCCAAAACAGAGGAAAAUGAAAUAUAUAACCACUGUCAAAGAGCAGGGAAAUAAACGAUGCCAUUGCCAACGCCCUCUGAAUUAGGAAACUUAGACCUUUAACACCAGAUAACUCCUGAUGCCACAUGUGACCCAAGGAGCAGCUGAGACUUCCAGUUUCCAUCUGAAUAUAAAAUAUAAAGAAAAUGACAACUUAUAUGGGAUUCUAUACUUUACAUAGUCCCUUCCCAUUACCAUCAGGAACAAAUAAUUGGUGAUCUGAUCUGGAAGAAUAAACUGAUCCCAGGAGGUAGAAGAAUCUAGAUGUUCUCUUUCAUAACUUUAUUAAAAUGGAAAUUGCAGCAUAA